rnacentral:rRNA from 1 species
AGUGAACGCUGGCGGUAGGCCUAACACAUGCAAGUCGAACGGCAGCACAGUAAGAGCUUGCUCUUACGGGUGGCGAGUGGCGGACGGGUGAGGAAUACAGCGGAAUCUACUUUUUCGUGGGGGAUAACGUAGGGAAACUUACGCUAAUACCGCAUACGACCUACGGGUGAAAGCAGGGGAUCUUCGGACCUUGCGCGAUUGAAUGAGCCGAUGUCGGAUUAGCUAGUUGGCGGGGUAAAGGCACACCAAGGCGACGAUCCGUAGCUGGUCUGAGAGGAUGAUCAGCCACACUGGAACUGAGACACGGUCCAGACUCCUACGGGAGGCAGCAGUGGGGAAUAUUGGACAAUGGGCGCAAGCCUGAUCCAGCCAUACCGCGUGGGUGAAGAAGGCCUUCGGGUUGUAAAGCCCUUUUGUUGGGAAAGAAAAGCAGCAGGUUAAUACCCCGCUGUUCUGACGGUACCCAAAGAAUAAGCACCGGCUAACUUCGUG